AUUGAACGCUGGCGGCAGGCCUAACACAUGCAAGUCGAACGAGUGGCGGACGGGUGAGUACUGUCUGGGAAACUGCCCGAUGGAGGGGGAUAACUACUGGAAACGGUAGCUAAUCCCGCAUACCAUCGGAUGUGCCCAGAUGGGAUUAGCUUGUAGGUGAGGUCACGGCUCACCUAGGCGACGAUCCCUAGCUGGUCUGAGAGGAUGACCAGCCACAUUGGAACUUGGACACGGUCCAGACUCCUACGGGAGGCAGCAGUGGGGAAUAUUGCACAAUGGGCGCAAGUCUGAUGCAGCCAGGCCGCGUGUAUGAAGAAGGCCUGUGGGUUGUAAAUUACUUUCAGCGGGGAGGCGUUACCCGCAGAAGAAGCACCGGCGAACUCCGUGCCAGCCGCCGCGGUAAUUC
rnacentral:rRNA from 1 species